rnacentral:rRNA from 1 species
GGAUGACCGCUGGCGGCGUGCCUACUACAUGCAAGUCGAGCGAACAGAUGAGGAGCUUGCUCCUCUGACGUUAGCGGCGGACGGGUGAGUAACACGUGGAUAACCUACCUAUAAGACUGGGAUAACUUCGGGAAACCGGAGCUAAUACCGGAUAAUAUAUUGAACCGCAUGGUUCAAUAGUGAAAGACGGUUUUGCUGUCACUUAUAGAUGGAUCCGCGCCGCAUUAGCUAGUUGGUAAGGUAACGGCUUACCAAGGCAACGAUGCGUAGCCGACCUGAGAGGGUGAUCGGCCACACUGGAACUGAGACACGGUCCAGACUCCUACGGGAGGCAGCAGUAGGGAAUCUUCCGCAAUGGGCGAAAGCCUGACGGAGCAACGCCGCGUGAGUGAUGAAGGUCUUCGGAUCGUAAAACUCUGUUAUUAGGGAAGAACAAAUGUGUAAGUAACUAUGCACGUCUUGACGGUACCUAAUCAGAAAGCCACGGCUAACUACGUG